UUAAUUAAUAAAUAUAGAUAAAUAACACACAAUGAGUAUUAGUUAUAACUACUUACACGGCGGAUUCAAUCGAGUUUUAUAUGACUAAUAAAUAAUUUGAAAAUCAUCAGAUAACUUAUAUAUAAACUUAUUUAAUUAACUUUGAUAUAUAAACAGUGACUUAUUGAUUAAUCGUCAUUUGUGUCUUAUAUAUACACUUAUAUAUGCACGCAACCGUAACCCUUAAGGCGCGAUUUUUUAGUUCAGUUUUGAAAGUUAAUAAAACAGCCAAUGAGAGGAAAUUUUGAAAGAUAUGUAGACCAAAUAGCUCAAAAUGUUGUAGCGCUUCUAAAUAUUUGGAAAGUUCAAACUAGGAUCAAAGUUAUCGGUCAGUGAAAAUCGAAAAAUCGCGUCGCGUUGUCGAAUCGCGUCCGGUGUGUCUGGACCUUUACAGACCUUUACUGCAUUUGCAAUAAAACGCGCGCCGAAUGUUUUGUUUGCAAGCCCAAAGCAAUCAAACGUUUGCUAAGCAUGAUUAUACAAUUACUUUAUGGUUUCCGUGUUUGGAUGGCCUGAUCCAAACACGCGGGAAUGUUGCGAGAGUUAAGAAAAGCGAGCG